GACGAACGCUGGCGGCGUGCUUAACACAUGCAAGUCGAACGGAAAGGCCCUGCUUUUGUGGGGUGCUCGAGUGGCGAACGGGUGAGUAACACGUGAGUAACCUGCUCUUGACUUUGGGAUAACUUCAGGAAACUGGGGCUAAUACCGGAUAGGAGCUCCUGCUGCAUGGUGGGGGUUGGAAAGUUUCGGCGGUUGGGGAUGGACUCGCGGCUUAUCAGCUUGUUGGUGGGGUAGUGGCUUACCAAGGCUUUGACGGGUAGCCGGCCUGAGAGGGUGACCGGCCACAUUGGGACUGAGAUACGGCCCAGACUCCUACGGGAGGCAGCAGUGGGGAAUAUUGCACAAUGGGCGGAAGCCUGAUGCAGCAACGCCGCGUGCGGGAUGACGGCCUUCGGGUUGUAAACCGCUUUCGCCUGUGACGAAGCGUGAGUGACGGUGAUGGGUAAAGAAGCACCGGCUAACUACGUG
rnacentral:rRNA from 1 species